UUUUUAAAUUAGAGGGCAAAUUACUAACAAAUGCUUGAUAUUAUAUAUUAUAUAGAUAUGUGUUAUAUAUAAAGAAAUCAAUUUGAAAUGCAUUUACUAACUCAUGUCA